rnacentral:sRNA from 1 species
UGUCAAUGGUAAGCGCACCAAGCAUCGCGCGGGAGCAUUAAGGAAUUGACAACCAUAC